rnacentral:rRNA from 1 species
UUAAAUUGAAGAGUUUGAUCAUGGCUCAGAUUGAACGCUGGCGGCAGGCCUAACACAUGCAAGUCGAACGGUAACAGGAAACAGCUUGCUGUUUCGCUGACGAGUGGCGGACGGGUGAGUAAUGUCUGGGAAACUGCCUGAUGGAGGGGGAUAACUACUGGAAACGGUAGCUAAUACCGCAUAACGUCGCAAGACCAAAGAGGGGGACCUUCGGGCCUCUUGCCAUCGGAUGUGCCCAGAUGGGAUUAGCUAGUAGGUGGGGUAACGGCUCACCUAGGCGACGAUCCCUAGCUGGUCUGAGAGGAUGACCAGCCACACUGGAACUGAGACACGGUCCAGACUCCUACGGGAGGCAGCAGUG